ensembl:lncRNA
CUUGGUUAAAAAAACAAAAAGAGGAGUAGAGGGAAAGCUGAAAUAUGACAUUAUUUGUUCUAGGGAUCAUGAGGUUCCUUUUGUGCUCAGGUUAAUUGUUCACACCUGUAUGCAAUUCAUUCAGGUAAAUCCAGAUCAUGUGAUGCUUCAAUUUGUACUAACCUCAGAGAUGAUAACUUGCAGCUGUUCUUUAAGAUAUGCAGUAGCAUAAAAAGUAGAGGCCUAUGACAUGUGAAGAAGUUGAAUGUUUCUUUAUUUUUAAGCUGGUUGAUGUUUAGAAGAGUGAGUUGAUGCAAGAUGGAGAGAGGAGAAAGAAAAGGAGCCUACCAAGAAAUAGCAGCACAAAGGACAGUGAACAAGAUCAUGUUGUCCAGAUGCCAAUUUCAGGAAAAACAGCUGUCCAGAUUUUAGGGAGAAAACUACUUCCUCAAGGCACCUGGAGUGAGGAGAAGAAGAAAGAAAAGAAGAAAAUACAGAUAUUUACAACAUCCAAGAGACAGUUCUUGACAUUGAUUAAAAGACAUUUCUCAGUGCAGGGAUGAUUUAUUAAAAAAAGGGUACUGAAGUUUCUUCUAAAUGAAGUUACCUUACAUUUAUCUGUCAUAUAAAUGUGCUUUGAUUAACCUGUUUGAAAAUGAUAGAGAAAUAGAACCCAGCGCCAAUUUAAUAACUAAUAUUCCUAUUACCUCUGCCUGUGAGAAAGCCUGUGGGAGAAAGAAAAAGCACUGGACAUUUUGUAAUGUUCACCAUGUAAAACUUUGUUCUCCCAAGUCCUGUUUGUUCAAAAACCUGUCAUGCAAAAAUGUUGCAAAUCUCUAGUCUGCAAAAUAUAUACAACCAUAGUGUUUGGCAGACCUUGGGGAACUUCCAGCAAAACAGUUUAAUUGGAAAAUGCCAUUUCAUUAAACCCAAACUCUUACUCCAGAUCUCUACAGCUGAGCAAAUACCUAGUGCUCUUAACAAUGAAUCUGACAAGGACAUGAGUUUUACUGAACAAAUGUAAGGGUUGGGAUGGUUUGUAUAAAUCAUUAACAUUUAUUUUUAGAUUUUAUUUUUCUGGAAUGGGAAAUGCUGAACUUCAGCUCAAUCUGGACAUUGGCAGAAGGAUCACUUGUUGCGUGCCUUUCUCUAUCACUUUAUUUCCUGGCUAGCAUGCAUCCACGUUAGUAACUAUUGAGCUCCUCAAAGUUAUCAAUUACUUAAUAAUUGAAAAAAAACAUAUAUAAAAAAAACACACACACAAAAAUGAGGCUCUUAAAAUACAGACUGAUAUAUAAUUAAUAGGGGCCUAGAUGGAGUGGAGGAAAAGAGGUAUUCUCUUUCAUUUUCUAUCACUUAACUUCAUACACAUCAGCUUUUUUGGUAUCCUAAAAGUUGCAACUAUAUGGUACAACAAAAAAAGGGGCUCAAUGCAUGUCCUGAAUCAGACUCUGAUGAUUAGAAAUGUUGCUUCUAUGGAGCAUGGCAAUGAAGAAAUAAAAUUUAGGUAAAAUUCUGUUCA